CCUUGCCCCCCUCCCCCCUCAGCCACAGUGCCAAUGGCGAGCGAGGCGAGCGGUGGAGCAUGACUGGGGAGACAAAGGCGGCCGGGCGGGGGAUGCUAUCACCGCUGCAUCCCCCCCCCCCACGGAUGCUGAGGUGUUCACGUCUGGAUAGGUGCUCGCAGACCGGCACUUGCAAUGAGCGCGUGCGGGACGUGGACACUUUCUCGUGUCCACUUCGAACAUCCCACGGAUUCCUCGUGAGAGAUUGCAACACGGCGGGGAUGAUGGUGAUGAUGGUGGUGAUGGUGGUGAUGGUGAUGAUGGUGAUGAUGGUGAUGAUGAUGAUGAUGGUGGUGAUGAUGGUGAUGAUGGUGAUGAUGGUGAUGAUGAUGGUGAUGAUGGUGGUGGUGGUGGUGGUGAUGGUGAUGAUGGUGAUGAUGGUGAUGGUGGUGAUGAUGGUGAUGAUGGUGAUGAUGGUGGUGAUGGUGAUGAUGGUGAUGAUGGUGGUGAUGAUGCUGAUGAUGGUGAUGAUGGUGGUGAUGAUGGUGAUGGUGAUGAUGAUGGUGAUGAUGGUGAUGAUGGUGGUGGUGAUGACGACGAUGUCAUCGCGACCGAAGAUAAUUUUCCACGCAAAAACAUAUCAGAAAAAAUAUCUUGAAAUUAUGAUGAUGAUGUUGAUGAUUGAAUAAACUUUCUUUAAAUCAUUAAUUAAUGCUUAAUUCUAACUGCGACUUCCUGCCUCGUGUCACGCGCAUUUCACUGGUCAACACACUUCUUCUGGCAUAAGGUAUU